AGUGAACGCUGGCGGUAGGCCUAACACAUGCAAGUCGAACGGCAGCACAGUAAGAGCUUGCUCUUACGGGUGGCGAGUGGCGGACGGGUGAGGAAUACAUCGGAAUCUACUUUUUCGUGGGGGAUAACGUAGGGAAGCUUACGCUAAUACCGCAUACGACCUACGGGUGAAAGCAGGGGAUCUUCGGACCUUGCGCGAUUGAAUGAGCCGAUGUCGGAUUAGCUAGUUGGCGGGGUAAAGGCCCACCAAGGCGACGAUCCGUAGCUGGUCUGAGAGGAUGAUCAGCCACACUGGAACUGAGACACGGUCCAGACUCCUACGGGAGGCAGCAGUGGGGAAUAUUGGACAAUGGGCGCAAGCCUGAUUCAGCCAUACCGCGUGGGUGAAGAAGGCCUUCGGGUUGUAAAGCCCUUUUGUUGGGAAAGAAAAGCAGCAGGUUGAUACCCCGCUGUUCUGACGGUACCCAAAGAAUAAGCACCGGCUAACUUCGUG
rnacentral:rRNA from 1 species